GACGAACGCUGGCGGCGUGCUUAACACAUGCAAGUCGAGCGGUAAGGCCCUUUCGGGGGUACACGAGCGGCGAACGGGUGAGUAACACGUGGGUGACCUGCCCUCAGCUCUGGGAUAAGCCUGGGAAACUGGGUCUAAUACUGGAUAUGACUCCACGGUGCAUGUCGUGGGGUGGAAAGCCUUGUGCGGCUGAGGAUGGGCCCGCGGCCCAUCAGCUUGUUGGUGGGGUGANGGCCUACCAAGGCGACGACGGGUAGCCGGCCUGAGAGGGCGACCGGCCACACUGGGACUGAGACACGGCCCAGACUCCUACGGGAGGCAGCAGUGGGGAAUCUUGCGCAAUGGGCGAAAGCCUGACGCAGCGACGCCGCGCGAGGGAUGACGGCCUCGGUUGUAAC
rnacentral:rRNA from 1 species